UGAGGGAAUAUUGGGUCAAUGGACGGGAGUCUGAACCAGCCAAGUAGCGUGCAGGACGACGGCCCUAUGGGUUGUAAACUGCUUUUAUAGGGGGAUAAAGUGUGCCACGUGUGGCAUAUUGCAGGUACCCUAUGAAUAAGGACCGGCUAAUUCCGUGCCAGCAGCCGCGGUAAUACGGAAGGUCCGGGCGUUAUCCGGAUUUAUUGGGUUUAAAGGGAGCGUAGGCGGAUUUUUAAGUCAGUUGUGAAAGUUUGAGGCUCAACCUUGAAAUUGCAGUUGAAACUGGAAGUCUUGAGUGCACGCAGAGGUGCCGGAAUUCAUGGUGUAGCGGUGAAAUGCUUAGAUAUCAUGAAGAACUCCGAUCGCGAAGGCAAGUGCCUGGAGUGCUACUGACGCUGAGGCUCGAAAGUGCGGGU
rnacentral:rRNA from 1 species